UGGGGAAUAUUGGACAAUGGGCGCAAGCCUGAUCCAGCCAUGCCGCGUGAGUGAUGAAGGCCCUAGGGUUGUAAAGCUCUUUCACCGGUGAAGGUAAUGACGGUAACCGGAGAAGAAGCCCCGGCUAACUUCGUGCCAGCAGCCGCGGUAAUACGAAGGGGGCUAGCGUUGUUCGGAAUUACUGGGCGUAAAGCGCACGUAGGCGGAUCGAUCAGUUAGGGGUGAAAUCCCGGGGCUCAACCCCGGAACUGCCUCUAAUACUGUCGAUCUGGAGGUCGGGAGAGGUGAGUGGAAUUCCGAGUGUAGAGGUGAAAUUCGUAGAUAUUCGGAGGAACACCAGUUGCGAAGGCGGCUCACUGGCUCGAUACUGACGCUGAGGUGCGAAAGCGUGGGGAGCAAA
rnacentral:rRNA from 1 species